rnacentral:rRNA from 1 species
AUGAACGCUGGCGGCGUGCCUAAUACAUGCAAGUCGAGCGAACAGACGAGGAGCUUGCUCCUCAGACGUUAGCGGCGGACGGGUGAGUAACACGUGGAUAACCUACCUAUAAGACUGGGAUAACUUCGGGAAACCGGAGCUAAUACCGGAUAAUAUAUUGAACCGCAUGGUUCAAUAGUGAAAGACGGUUUUGCUGUCACUUAUAGAUGGAUCCGCGCCGCAUUAGCUAGUUGGUAAGGUAACGGCUUACCAAGGCAACGAUGCGUAGCCGACCUGAGAGGGUGAUCGGCCACACUGGAACUGAGACACGGUCCAGACUCCUACGGGAGGCAGCAGUAGGGAAUCUUCCGCAAUGGGCGAAAGCCUGACGGAGCAACGCCGCGUGAGUGAUGAAGGUCUUCGGAUCGUAAAACUCUGUUAUUAGGGAAGAACAAAUGUGUAAGUAACUAUGCACGUCUUGACGGUACCUAAUCAGAAAGCCACGGCUAACUACGUG